AUGUGGACUGAAAUGGCAUUGAAUUUCAAGAGGAUUUUUGUUGCAAUAAAGAGAAACAUCAACCAGAUCUUACUCAGACCUGCAGUGAAAGUUGCACUGGUAGUAAAACUUGCCAAUAUUUUACAAUUUUUCACAUUUAAAGUUAAUGGGAAAAUAUACAAACAUUUGUUUAAUAAAGGAGCUAAAGAAUUCACCAUACCAAUGAUUAAAAUUGCUGAAGAAGGAGCAAAAAAACUCACCAAAGACAUGGCUAAGACUGGAUGUAAAACAGCCUUUAAAGGAGGCGCUAUGGUUGUAGGAGGAGCUGUUGGACUGGCGUUUGAACUUCCUGAGGCGAUUGACAACUGGAAAGACCAGAUCAAGAAUAAUCAUGUGACUGAAGCGAGCCAAUCACUGAGAGAUACAGCUAAGGCCAUUGAAAAGAUCUGCCAGACACUGAGGGAACAGUUCGACAACAUGAAGUAAGAAGUUUUCUGUGAUUCUCCACCCAGAUUCUCUCCUCCUGUAGAUCUGAGAACAGCAGCUGGACUCAUUUAGUUUAGAUUCAUGUGACUUCAAAUCCUGACUGCUUGUCCUGCUGGAAAACCCAUCCAAAGAAACUUUACCUUACUGUCCACCUGUAUAGUCAGACCACUGACUUUACAGGUGGACACCGAUACAGACUGUAUCAGAUACUGACCGUAUCAGGAUAUUCUGGCUUCAUUUUUGUACAGUGGGAGAAAGUGGAGAUGCCCAUCCUUUAUAUGUCGAUGAGUCAUACUCAUACAUACUCAUAUUUUUCCUAGAAUAUGGAUAAAUCUGUAGCAUGACAGACGAAAAGUCCUCAAAAUGACAAAUAAUCACUUCCAGACUCUGAAGCUAACAACAUGCUCGCAAGCAAAUUCACAGAUUGUUUCAUUGGACACAUUUUGACAGGGGAUGGAACGGUUGACAACAUUCAGGUUCAUAUUGCUGCUUUCAGUUGGGUUCUGUGUGUUUUUGGGACAACACUGUCAAAUCUUAAAGGUCCAGUGUGUAGGAUGAACCGAACAAUACAUAGUCCGACCUGUGACCUACAAACUGACAACAUUCUAUCUCUAAUUUUGAUACAGGUCAUUACUUCCCAACAUUUACAUCAACAUUAUUUCAGGGUGAAAUCUGUUUGCUUGCAACCACUGAUGGUGAUUUAUGCUAACUGUCUGUUCACUU
rnacentral:lncRNA from 15 species